rnacentral:tRNA from 1 species
GCCGGGGUAGCCAAGUGGCCAAAGGCGACGGACUCAAGAACAACUAGUUCCUCUGGAAGAGGGCUUUGACAAGAGAGAGCUUCAUGCUUCCUUUACAGUAAAGUUGCUGUAAAAGCUUUCCAGGGCGAAAGCUGUGGCUGAGAUAUCCGUUCCCGCAGGGGUUCGCAAGUUCAAAUCUUGCCCCCGGCA